CGGAGGGUGCGAGCGUUGUCCGGAAUCACUGGGCGUAAAGGGCGCGUAGGUGGCUUCUCAAGCGCGCGGUGAAAGCCCGGGGCUCAACCCCGGGUCGGCCGUGCGGACUGGGAGGCUCGAGCACUGUAGGGGCGGGUGGAAUUCCGGGUGUAGCGGUGGAAUGCGUAGAGAUCCGGAAGAACACCGGUGGCGAAGGCGGCCCGCUGGGCAGGAAGGCUCGCAAGAGCCGGCUGACACUGAGGCGCGACAGCGUGGGGAGCAAACAGGAUUAGAUACCCUGGUAGUCCACGCCGUAAACGAUGGGCACUAGGUGCCUGGGGGAGCGACCCCCCGGGUGCCGGCGCUAACGCAUUAAGUGCCCCGCCUGGGGGAGUACGGCCGCAAGGCUG
rnacentral:rRNA from 1 species